CGCGGCCUAUCAGCUUGUUGGUGGGGUAGUGGCUUACCAAGGCUUUGACGGGUAGCCGGCCUGAGAGGGUGACCGGCCACAUUGGGACUGAGAUACGGCCCAGACUCCUACGGGAGGCAGCAGUGGGGAAUAUUGCACAAUGGGCGGAAGCCUGAUGCAGCAACGCCGCGUGCGGGAUGACGGCCUUCGGGUUGUAAACCGCUUUCGCCUGUGACGAAGCGUGAGUGACGGUAAUGGGUAAAGAAGCACCGGCUAACUACGUGCCAGCAGCCGCGGUGAUACGUAGGGUGCGAGCGUUGUCCGGAUUUAUUGGGCGUAAAGGGCUCGUAGGUGGUUGAUCGCGUCGGAAGUGUAAUCUUGGGGCUUAACCCUGAGCGUGCUUUCGAUACGGGUUGACUUGAGGAAGGUAGGGGAGAAUGGAAUUCCUGGUGGAGCGGUGGAAUGCGCAGAUAUCAGGAGGAACACCAGUGGCGAAGGCGGUUCUCUGGGCCUUUCCUGACGCCGAGGAGCGAAAGCGUGGGGAGCGAACAGGCUUAGAUACCCUGGUAGUCCACGCUGUAAACGGUGGGUACUAGGUGUGGGGUCCAUUCCACGGGUUCCGUGCCGUAGCUAACGCUUUAAGUACCCCGCCUGGGGAGUACGG
rnacentral:rRNA from 1 species